rnacentral:misc_RNA from 1 species
GAGAAUUCUUCAAUCUCUAAAAGCUUUUUCUCUUCUUCUCACUUUUCCAGUCUUGUUUGUCUACAGAGAGGGAGAGGGAGAGGCAUUGUCCCCUCAAUUUCCCACAAAAAAAAUGUCUCUUCGACCCAGCAAUCGAACUGAAGUUCGCAAGAAAUCUUACAAAAUUGGGGUUGAUGCAGAUGAAGCUCGUAGAAGGAGAGAGGACAAUUUGGUUG